GAUGAGUUUGAUCGUGGCUCAGGACGAACGCUGGCGGCGUGCCUAAUACAUGCAAGUCGAGCGCGGGAAGCGAGCUGAUCCCUUCGGGGUGACGCUCGUGGAACGAGCGGCGGACGGGUGAGUAACACGUGGGCAACCUGCCUGUAAGAUCGGGAUAACUCCGGGAAACCGGGGCUAAUACCGGGUAAUACUUUCUUUCGCAUGAAGGAAAGUUGAAAGAUGGCUUCUCGCUAUCACUUACAGAUGGGCCCGCGGCGCAUUAGCUAGUUGGUGAGGUAACGGCUCACCAAGGCGACGAUGCGUAGCCGACCUGAGAGGGUGAUCGGCCACACUGGGACUGAGACACGGCCCAGACUCCUACGGGAGGCAGCAGUAGGGAAUCUUCCGCAAUGGACGAAAGUCUGACGGAGCAACGCCGCGUGAACGAUGAAGGUCUUCGGAUCGUAAAGUUCUGUUGUUAGGGAAGAACAAGUACCGUGCGAAUAGAGCGGUACCUGAC
rnacentral:rRNA from 1 species